AGGUUCGACUUGACCAGCGACGAAAACGUAUGGUCCUGCAUAGUGGGAGCUUCAGCAUCGGCAGUAUAUCGACUAUGUCUUGACCAAAUGGUUGUACAGCGGAUAAUGGCAUCUCCAUCAGUGAAGCAAGCUCGAAGGACCGUGAUGUCUGGUGCUCUCUUACUUCUUCUACUAUACGCUUCGUGCAAUUUAUUGGGUGUUGCGAUGACAAUAUGGUACAGAGGAUGUGAUCCAAUGCUGUCAGGUGCCAUAAAGAGGAUUGAUGAGAUCAUACCGCACUACAUUACUACUGAACUUGUAAAUAUACCCGGAUUCGCAGGACUGUACUUGGCUGGAGUUGUAAGCGCUGGAACAAGCACAAUAUCAUCAGUGAUAAAUUCACAAGCAGCAAUCCUCUACAUUGACGUCAUCGCUCAAGGAUACAAAAAAGCAGACGAGCACGUUUCGAUGAUUACACGCUGCACAG